CCUACGGGUGGCAGCAGUGAGGAAUAUUGGUCAAUGGACGCAAGUCUGAACCAGCCAUGCCGCGUGCAGGAUGACUGCCCUAUGGGUUGUAAACUGCUUUUGUACGAGGGUAAAACCAGGUACGUGUAUCUGUUUGAAAGUAUCUUAUGAAUAAGGAUCGGCUAACUCCGUGCCAGCAGCCGCGGUAAUACGGAGGAUUCAAGCGUUAUCCGGAUUUAUUGGGUUUAAAGGGUGCGUAGGCGGGCGGAUAAGUUAGAUGUGAAAUUCCGAGGCUCAACUGCGGAAUUGCCUCUGAUACUGUUCGGCUUGAGAGUAGUUGCGGUAGGCGGAAUGUAUGGUGUAGCGGUGAAAUGCUUAGAGAUCAUACAGAACACCGAUUGCGAAGGCAGCUUACCAAGCUACUUCUGACGUUGAGGCACGAAAGCGUGGGGAGCAAACAGGAUUAGAUACCCCAGUAGUC
rnacentral:rRNA from 1 species